CCUACGGGUGGCAGCAGUAAGGAAUAUUGGUCAAUGGACGAGAGUCUGAACCAGCCAAGUAGCGUGAAGGAUGACUGCCCUAUGGUUUGUAAACUUCUUUUAUAUGGGAAUAAAUUGUUCCACGUGUGGGAUUUUGUAUGGACCAUAUGAUUAAGGCUCGGCUAAAGCCGUGCCAGCAGCCGUGGUAAUACGGAGGAUCCGAGCGUUAUUCGGAUUUAUUGGGGUUAAAGGGAGCGUAGGUGGAUUGGUAAGUCAGUUGUGAAAGUUUGCGGCUCAACCGUAAAAUUGCAGUUGAAACUGGCAGUCUAGAGUACAGUAGAGGUGGGCGGAAUUCGUGGUGUAGCGGUGAAAUGCUUAGAUAUCACGAAGAACUCCGAUUGCGAAGGCAGCUCACUGGACUGCAACUGACACUGAGGCUCGAAAGUGUGGGUAUCAAACAGGAUUAGAUACCCGAGUAGUC
rnacentral:rRNA from 1 species